rnacentral:rRNA from 1 species
UCGGGAAUGUUGGGCAAUGGGCGAAAGCCUGACCCAGCAACGCCGCGUGAGGGAUGAAGUAUUUCGGUAUGUAAACCUCGAAAGAAUGGGAAGAAUAAAUGACGGUACCAUUUAUAAGCUCCGGCUAACUACGUGCCAGCAGCCGCGGUAAUACGUAGGGAGCAAGCGUUGUUCGGAUUUACUGGGCGUAAAGGGCGCGUAGGCGGCGCGGUAAGUCACUUGUGAAAUCUCUGAGCUUAACUCAGAACGGCCAAGUGAUACUGCUGUGCUAGAGUGCGGAAGAGGCAACCGGAAUUCUUGGUGUAGCGGUGAAAUGCGUAGAUAUCAAGAGGAACACCUGAGGCGAAGGCGGGUUGCUGGGCCGACACUGACGCUGAUGCGCGAAAGCCAGGGGAGCAAACG